rnacentral:rRNA from 1 species
AGCUCGCGGCUCUAUCACCUUCGUUGGGGGGGUGGAGGCCUACCAAGGCGUCGACGGGUAGCCGGCCUGAGAGGGUGGUCGGCCACACUGGGACUGAGAUACGGCCCAGACUCCUACGGGAGGCAGCAGUGGGGGAAUAUUUGCACAAUGGGCGCAAGCCUGAUGCAGCGACGCCGCGUGGGGGAUGGAGGCUUUCGGGUUUGUAAACCCCUUUCGGCGCGGGACAAGGCUCCGUUUGGCGGGGUUGAGGGUACGCGUCAAAGAAGCGCCGGCUAACUACGUGCCAGCAGCCGCGGUAAUACGUAGGGCGCGAGCGUUGUCCGGAAUUAUUGGGCGUAAAGGGCUCGUAGGCGGCUUGUCGCGUCUGCUGUGAAAACGCGGGGCUCAACUCCGCGCGUGCAGUGGGUACGGGCAGGCUGGAGUGCGGCAGGGGUGGCUGGAAUUCCUGGUGUAGCGGUGGAAUGCGCAGAUAUCAGGAAGAACACCGAUGGCGAAGGCAGGCCACUGGGCCGUCACUGACGCUGAGGAGCGAAAGCGUGGGGAGCGAACAGGAUUAGAUACCCUGGUAGUCCACGCUGUAAACGUUGGGAACUAGGUGUGGGGUCUGUUCCACGGAUUCUGCGCCGGAGCUAACGCGUUAAGUUCCCCGCCUGGGGAGUACGGCCGCAAGGCUAAAACUCAAAGGAAUUGACGGGGGCCCGCACAAGCGGCGGAGCAUGCGGAUUAAUUCGAUGCAACGCGAAGAACCUUACCAAGGCUUGACAUGUGCCGGGAGGGCGCGGAGACGCGUCUGCCUUCGGGCCGGUUCACAGGUGGUGCAUGGUUGUCGUCAGCUCGUGUCGUGAGAUGUUGGGUUAAGUCCCGCAACGAGCGCAACCCUUGUCCCGUGUUGCCAGCGCGUUGUGGCGGGGACUCACGGGGGACUGCCGGGGUCAACUCGGAGGAAGGUGGGGACGACGUCAAAUCAUCAUGCCCCUUAUGCCUUGGGCUUCACGCAUGCUACAAUGGCCGGUACAGAGGGUGGCGAUGCCGUGAGGCGGAGCGAAUCUCGUAAAGCCGGUCUCAGUUCGGAAUCGGGGUCUGCAAACUCGGGGCCCGUGAAAGCUUCGGAGUCGCUAGUAAUCGCAGAUUCAGCAAACGCUGCGGUGAAAUACGUUUCUCGGCC